CUGACAUGAGUAACGACAAGGGGGGUGAAAACCCCCCCCGCCGGAAGACCAAGGUUUCCUGUCCCAUGCUAAUCAGGACAGGGUUAGUCGGCCCCUAAGGCGAGGCAGAAAUGCGUAGUCGAUGGGAAGCAGGUUAAUAUUCCUGCACCAGUGGGUAGUGACGGAUCUCGUGUGUCGUCAGUCCUUAUCGGAUUGAACUGGCGGCGAAGAGGUCCCUGGAAAUAGCUCCCACAUUAGACCGUACCCCAAACCGACACAGGUGGGCUGGUAGAGCAUACCAAGGCGCUUGAGAGAACUAUGCUGAAGGAACUCGGCAAAUUGCUCCCGUAAGUUCGCGAGAAGGGAGCCUCUGCAUUGGGCAACCAGUGUGGAGGGGCACAGACCAGGGGGUGGCGACUGUUUACUAAAAACACAGGA
rnacentral:rRNA from 1 species